rnacentral:rRNA from 1 species
UACGGAGGGUGCAAGCGUUGUUCGGAAUUACUGGGCGUAAAGCGCGUGUAGGCGGCUUGGCAAGUCGGGUGUGAAAUCCCGGGGCUCAACCCCGGAACUGCAUUCGAAACUGCCUCGCUCGAGUCCCGGAGAGGGUGGUGGAAUUCCCAGUGUAGAGGUGAAAUUCGUAGAUAUUGGGAGGAACACCGGUGGCGAAGGCGACCACCUGGACGGUGACUGACGCUGAGACGCGAAAGCGUGGGGAGCAAACAGG